rnacentral:rRNA from 1 species
CCUACGGGUGGCAGCAGUGAGGAAUAUUGGUCAAUGGACGAGAGUCUGAACGAGCCAAGUAGCGUGAAGGAUGACUGCCCUAUGGGUUGUAAACUUCUUUUAUAUGGGAAUAAAACGUUCCACGUGUGGGAUUUUGUAUGUACCAUAUGAAUAAGGAUCGGCUAGCUCCGUGCCAUCAGCCGCGGUAAUACGGGGGAUCCGAGAGUUACCCGGAUUUAUUGUGUUUAAGGGGUGCGUAGGCGGAAUGCCAAGUCAGCGGGAAAAUCGCGGGGCUCAACCUCGCUGCGCCGUUGAAACUGGCGUUCUUGAGUGGGCGAGAAGUAUGCGGAAUGCGAUGUGUAGCGGUGAAAUGCAUAGAUAUCACGCAGAACUCCGAUUGCGAAGGCAGCAUACCGGCGCCCAACUGACGCUGAAGCACGAAAGCGUGGGUAUCGAACAGGAUUAGAUACCCGGGUAGUC